rnacentral:rRNA from 1 species
AUGAACGCUAGCUACAGGCUUAACACAUGCAAGUCGAGGGGCAGCAUGGUCUUAGCUUGCUAAGACUGAUGGCGACCGGCGCACGGGUGAGUAACACGUAUCCAACCUGCCGUCUACUCUUGGACAGCCUUCUGAAAGGAAGAUUAAUACAAGAUGGCAUCAUGAGUCCACAUGUUCACAUGAUUAAAGGUAUUCCGGUAGACGAUGGGGAUGCGUUCCAUUAGAUAGUAGGCGGGGUAACGGCCCACCUAGUCUUCGAUGGAUAGGGGUUCUGAGAGGAAGGUCCCCCACAUUGGAACUGAGACACGGUCCAAACUCCUACGGGAGGCAGCAGUGAGGAAUAUUGGUCAAUGGGCGAGAGCCUGAACCAGCCAAGUAGCGUGAAGGAUGACUGCCCUAUGGGUUGUAAACUUCUUUUAUAAAGGAAUAAAGUCGGGUAUGGAUACCCGUUUGCAUGUACUUUAUGAAUAAGGAUCGGCUAACUCCGUGCCAGCAGCCGCGGUAAUACGGAGGAUCCGAGCGUUAUCCGGAUUUAUUGGGUUUAAAGGGAGCGUAGAUGGAUGUUUAAGUCAGUUGUGAAAGUUUGCGGCUCAACCGUAAAAUUGCAGUUGAUACUGGAUAUCUUGAGUGCAGUUGAGGCAGGCGGAAUUCGUGGUGUAGCGGUGAAAUGCUUAGAUAUCACGAAGAACUCCGAUUGCGAAGGCAGCCUGCUAAGCUGCAACUGACAUUGAGGCUCGAAAGUGUGGGUAUCAAACAGGAUUAGAUACCCUGGUAGUCCACACGGUAAACGAUGAAUACUCGCUGUUUGCGAUAUACUGCAAGCGGCCAAGCGAAAGCGUUAAGUAUUCCACCUGGGGAGUACGCCGGCAACGGUGAAACUCAAAGGAAUUGACGGGGGCCCGCACAAGCGGAGGAACAUGUGGUUUAAUUCGAUGAUACGCGAGGAACCUUACCCGGGCUUAAAUUGCAGAUGAAUUACGGUGAAAGCCGUAAGCCGCAAGGCAUCUGUGAAGGUGCUGCAUGGUUGUCGUCAGCUCGUGCCGUGAGGUGUCGGCUUAAGUGCCAUAACGAGCGCAACCCUUGUUGUCAGUUACUAACAGGUCAUGCUGAGGACUCUGACAAGACUGCCAUCGUAAGAUGUGAGGAAGGUGGGGAUGACGUCAAAUCAGCACGGCCCUUACGUCCGGGGCUACACACGUGUUACAAUGGGGGGUACAGAGGGCCGCUACCACGCGAGUGGAUGCCAAUCCCAAAAACCUCUCUCAGUUCGGACUGGAGUCUGCAACCCGACUCCACGAAGCUGGAUUCGCUAGUAAUCGCGCAUCAGCCACGGCGCGGUGAAUACGUUCCCGGGCCUUGUACACACCGCCCGUCAAGCCAUGGGAGCCGGGGGUACCUGAAGUGCGUAACCGCGAGGAGCGCCCUAGGGUAAAACUGGUGACUGGGGCU